AACGAACGCUGGCGGCAGGCUUAACACAUGCAAGUCGAGCGCCCAGCAAUGGGGAGCGGCGACGGGUGAGUAACACGUGGGAACAUGCCCUUCGGUACGGAAUAACUCAGGGAAACUUGUGCUAAUACCGUAUGCGCCCUAACGGGGAAAGAUUUAUCGCCGAAGGAUUGGCCCGCGUCUGAUUAGCUUGUUGGUGGGUAACGGCCCCACCAAGGCUUCGAUCAGUAGCUGGUUUGAGAGAGCGACCAGCCACACUGGGACUGAGACACGGCCCAGACUCCUACGGGAGGCAGCAGUGGGGAAUCUUGGACAAUGGGGGAAACCCUGAUCCAGCCAUGCCGCGUGAGCGAUGAAGGCCUUAGGGUUGUAAAGCUCUUUCAGUGGGGAAGAUAAUGACGGUACCCACAGAAGAAGCCCCGGCUAACUCCGUG
rnacentral:rRNA from 1 species